AGUGAACGCUGGCGGUAGGCCUAACACAUGCAAGUCGAACGGCAGCACAGUAAGAGCUUGCUCUUACGGGUGGCGAGUGGCGGACGGGUGCGGAAUACAUCGGAAUCUACUUUUUCGUGGGGGAUAACGUAGGGAAACUUACGCUAAUACCGCAUACGACCUACGGGUGAAAGCAGGGGAUCUUCGGACCUUGCGCGAUUGAAUGAGCCGAUGUCGGAUUAGCUAGUUGGCGGGGUAAAGGCCCACCAAGGCGACGAUCCGUAGCUGGUCUGAGAGGAUGAUCAGCCAUACUGGAACUGAGACACGGUCCAGACUCCUACGGGAGGCAGCAGUGGGGAAUAUUGGACAAAGGGCGCAAGCCUGAUCCAGCCAUACCGCGUGGGUGAAGAAGGCCUUCGGGUUGUAAAGCCCUUUUGUUGGGAAAGAAAAGCAGCAGGUUAAUACCCCGCUGUUCUGACGGUACCCAAAGAAUAAGCACCGGCUAACUUCGUG
rnacentral:rRNA from 1 species